AUACGUAGGGGGCGAGCGUUGUCCGGAAUGAUUGGGCGUAAAGGGAGCGUAGGCGGCGCGGUAAGUCUGGAGUGAAAGUCCUGCUUUCAAGGUGGGAAUUGCUUUGGAUACUGCCGCGCUUGAGUGCAGGAGAGGUUAUCGGAAUUCCCGGUGUAGCGGUGAAAUGCGUAGAGAUCGGGAGGAACACCAGUGGCGAAGGCGGGUAACUGGACUGCAACUGACGCUGAGGCGCGAAAGUGUGGGGAGCAAACAGGAUUAGAUACCCUGGUAGUCCACACUGUAAACGAUGAAUGCUAGGUGUAAGAGGUAUCGACCCCUUUUGUGCCGGAGUCAACACAAUAAGCAUUCCGCCUGGGGAGUACGGCCGCAAGGUUGAAACUCAAAUGAAUUGACGGGG
rnacentral:rRNA from 1 species